AAAAAGAUAAGCUAAGAUAAAGCUGAUGGGUUCAUAUCCCAUUUAUGGGUAUAAUUCCCUCUUUUUA
rnacentral:tRNA from 1 species